ACGCUCGACACCUACGGGGCAGCAGUGGGGAAUAUUGCACAAUGGGGGAAACCCUGAUGCAGCGACGCCGCGUGAGUGAAGAAGUAUUUCGGUAUGUAAAGCUCUAUCAGCAGGGAAGAAAAUGACGGUACCUGACUAAGAAGCCCCGGCUAACUACGUGCCAGCACGCCGGACGGUAACUCGUGGACGGCGGGCGUGGACGAACGGC
rnacentral:rRNA from 1 species